rnacentral:rRNA from 1 species
UGGGGAAUAUUGGACAAUGGGGGCAACCCUGAUCCAGCCAUGCCGCGUGAGUGAUGAAGGCCUUCGGGUUGUAAAGCUCUUUUGGCGGGGACGAUGAUGACGGUACCCGCAGAAUAAGCCCCGGCUAACUUCGUGCCAGCAGCCGCGGUAAGACGAAGGGGGCUAGCGUUGUUCGGAAUUACUGGGCGUAAAGCGAGUGUAGGCGGUUGCCGUAGUCAGGUGUGAAAGCCUUGAGCUCAACUCAAGAAAUGCACUUGAUACUGGGUGACUAGAGGACCGGAGAGGAUAGUGGAAUUCCCAGUGUAGUGGUGAAAUACGUAGAGAUUGGGAAGAACACCAGUGGCGAAGGCGGCUAUCUGGACGGUUACUGACGCUAAGACUCGAAAGCGUGGGGAGCAAACAGGAUUAGAUACCCUGGUAGUCCACGCCGUAAACGAUGGGUGCUAGACGUUGGCGAGCUUGCUCGUCAGUGUCGCAGCUAACGCGUUAAGCACCCCGCCUGGGGAGUACGGCCGCAAGGGUUGAAAANUCAAAAUGAAUUGACGGGGGUCAUAGCUGUUUUCCU